AGAUCAUGAUAUGGACAUUUUCACAUCAUCUUCUUGAAUCACUCUUAUGCUUCAAAAAUCGAUUCUCCAUCCAUCCGCCUAAAGUAGGUGAUUUGAUUCCUAGGUU